rnacentral:lncRNA from 1 species
UAGUCGUGAAAUGUACAAGGUUGAAUCGGAGUGUACAUCUGGAAGGUUGGGUAGGGUUAGUAACGAAGUGUACAUUGGGUGUUUGGGUUAGUUAGUUAUAAGGACAGCUCUGUCUUCUCUGUAAAUCAUAAGGAUGGGGGAAAUGGCAUUGCAGCUCUGUUUCCUUUUUACCUUCGGCCCCCUUUACACGCAGGAAUGGAUAAUUUUGGUGUGGUGGAAUUGAAACAGUGAAAGCUUAGCAUACGUAAGGAACAUUAUGAAUUUAUGAUGUCGUGGCAGACCUUUGAAACUGUAAAUUCUUAGCUUUUGCUAUGCUAUGUUAACGCCUGUAUAGCGCAAAAAUUUUCAGCGCUCUCACAGAAAAAGAAAUUAAAUAAUCUUUGAGCACCAUACUUGAUGUGUGAUGGGACUACACUUCAAGAUAAAAAAUCGUAAUAAUGAAAGGUUAUGUUUUUUUAGGGGAUCAAAUGUUAUGUGCAUGCCUAGUUAAGGGCAAUCUUCCUUUUUUUUUGAGACAAAGGUCAAUUUCCCUAAACGGUGCCUGCAGCCGCGUUAGGUGGGCUGGCCCAUUUUUCUGUUUCAGUCUGUAUGUUUUUUUUUCUUCAGGGUGGGUCCAACCACUGACCUCCUGUAUCGAGGCGCAAUGCGCUAACCAACGGGCCGCUCAAGCUCGUCUGAUAUUUUUCAACAUUCUCAUUAUUUUAUUACUUCUACUUUUUCUUUCCUUUUUCCGUUUCUCCUUUUCUUUUCCUGGUUUGAUGAACAUUUUCUGCCAAAUUGAUGAGCUUUUCUCUAAAAGUUGAUGAAUUAUUUUUCAAAUUUCCAUGAUUUUUUUUUCAAAUUUGAUGAACCUUUUUCCUAUUCAAUGAACUUUUGUAAAAGUCGAUGAACUUUUUUCUUCAAAUCGAUGAACUUUUUUCAUUUUUUGAUGAUCUUUUUUCUAAUUUGAUUAACAUUUUUUCAAGCUUGGUGAACUUUUGCCAAUUUGGAUGAACCUUUUCCAAAUUGGAUGAAUUUUUUUCAAAUUGAUAAACUUUUUCCCAAUUCAAUGAACUUUUUUUAAAUUUGGUGGACUUGUUUCAUAUUCAAUGAACUUUUUAUCAAAAUUGAUGAACUUUUUUUCAAACUCACAAACUUUUUCCCGUUUUGAGUUUUUUUCAAAUUCAUAAAUCUUUUUGAGUUUGCGAUUUUUUCAAAAUAUAUUAUUUUUUUAAAUGAACUUCUUUUGAAUUCGUGAACCUUUUCGAUUUGGUGAACAUUUUUGUGAAUACGCGAACUUUUUUUGCAUGUUUGUGAACUUCAUUUGAAAUCUAUGAACAUGUUUUCAAAUAAUUGAAAAAUCUAAGCAUUAAAGUGUAAUGCCACGUCUACGUUUCUAUUCUUAAACAACCCGCGCUGUAAAUAGCGACUAGCAAUUAUUGGUCUAGUGGUUAGCAUCGCUAUAAAGAAGUUCGAUGGCGCGAGUUCGAAUUCCGGUUGAUAGACAUAUAUUUUGUUGUGUUUUUUGGCUUUGCGCUGUCGUGGGCCAGCCCACCCAGAGGUGCUGCGAGCGCCAGUUAGGUUGUGCGGCGCUGAAGGCGCGCAAUAGGAGGCCUCUCCCUAGUUGGUGUAGAGGCCAGGACAAUAAUUUUAAAUGAGGCUAUCAUGUCGCUUCCUUGUGGCCCACUCGGGCGGACCAUGUAACCUAGCGCCGCCACCAAAAGAACCUCCAAUCCUCUUGCCGCCGUCGGAGGAAGUUGUAGGGCGGAGCCGCUGACGUUGGCGGCGGGGACCUUUAUGCUUGUGUCGUGGGGGUGGCCCCGGGCAUGGCGGAGCCCCUCUCGGUGACGGUUGCGGCAACGUUUUGACGUGGCUACUCGGUUCCAUCAAGGCUGGGCCGUUGCCUGCCUCCUCGUCUGCGUGUGACGUUGGGUGUGCUAGGUGGUGGUGGCGUGCUUUGGUACGGUUGUGUUGGCGUCAAAUCACACGGUUGGGGAGCUGACUGAUCCUGGUUGGGAUCAGCAGGUUGGCGUCUAGCAUAGUCACGGGCUGUUUACGGGGGUUUGACGGAGUGGUUAGCAGUGAUUGGCUGAGAUUUGGUUUAAUGAGGCAGGCCCCACCAAUGAAAAUCGGGGGGAGGGGGGCAAUUAGUGGAGGACACGCAUGGAGGGUCCAUAAAAGUCCGUUGUUUCCCUCCGUGCGUGUAGUAUUAUCGCCCCAGGGAGGAUUGGGAUAUAGCAUGGAUAUGACUGGUGGGGCCAAUGUAGUGAGUUAGAGUAUCGAUUGAUCCCAUCCUAGAUUAUCUUUUUCCCGGUGCAUCAAACGGAUCCAGGGUUUAGUUUGACCAAGAUCGAUGAGUACAGGGUAUCGAUUUUAGAGAUGUAAGGUUGAUGAUUCAUUUGUGUCACACUAUACAAGCUCAUUAGCUCAGGGUUUAAAACAGACUUAACGAAUGCUCCAGAUUACAUGGAGAUGCGGUCUGUUCAGAUAGAACUUGAAAGUUGAGCCGUAUCUACCACAACUAUACGCAGGGAAAUCAAUCGCAACAACUCCAUGCCGUACACGUACGGGAUUAAAACAUAUUUCAACAGGCUCCAGUUCAUCGUCCGCGACAUCAACCCAGCAACAUUACUAGAUCCGUAGGUCGCGCAGUUCACCCAUGGCCAGGGUGCGCGGGACGGGUCGGAUCUCACGCCGGCGGCCUCCUAAGGCGGUCCGCGGCGGCGGCGAAGACAGGAUCAGCGCCCUCCCCGAUGAUCUCCUCCUCCUCAUCCUGCGCCGCGUCGACACCCGCACGGCGCUCGGCACUGCGUCGCUGUCCAGGCGCUGGUCCCGCCUCCCCGCCGAGCUCCCCGCCCUGGACUUCAGUGUCUUCGACGUGCUCCCGGAGCGCUACUGCAGCUGGCUCCGCCUCCAUCUCAGGAUCGACGACGCCACGGAUGAGAGUGUCCUGGCUAACUUGAUGAGGUACGAGCGCCGCGCCAUGCGCGCCCUAAUCGGCUUCAUCCAGAGCCGCCUCUUGUUGGACGCUCCCCGGAGGCUCCGCCGGCUGGGGCUCCAGUUCUUCUCCGCCGACAAUAACAGCGGCCUCAUCAACCGGCUCGUCGCCAAGGCCAUCGACGACUGGGGGGUCAGCAAUCUGGAGGCCGUCGCCGCGCCGUUCUACACGCAGCCGGCCGCCGCCCACGCCUUUCCCGGCCACGGCCUCUGCGAGCGUCCCCGCGCGUCGCGCCUGCGGAAGCUCAAGCUCGGGGGCUGCGCCGUGCUCCCGCCGCUUCACGAGCACGGCGCGCUCACCAAGCUCGUCCUGCAAGACAUGCCGGAGUCGGUGCCUGUCGCGGCCUACGAGGCCGUGCUCGCCUCGUGCCCGCAGCUGCAGGUGCUGCACCUCGUGUGCUGCCUCUGCCGCGGCGCCGAGGUCAUGACCGUCGACGCCCCAAUGUCGCGGAUCAGGGAGCUCGUCGUCGACAGGUGCGAGUUCCCGACGAUGAUACGCAUGGCGGCCCUUCCCGGCCUCGAGAGGCUGGCCUCGCUCGGAACCAGGGUGUCCUUCGCGGAGUCCGCCUCGUUUCCCCGCCUCAGCCAGUGCAACCUCGCCUGGUUCUCCGAUGCCCAGCCGACAAGGACGGUGCUCGACUUCCUCGUCCGACGGACCCCGGACAUUGCCAGCCUUAUGAUCCGAUUCACCGGACCGGAGAGGUGGAUCGUGCCGUGGAGCCACCACCCGUCGUCGCUGCUGCCUAACCUGACAAGGCUACUGGUCGCCGACGUGCCUUCGUCCUGGGACGUCUCGUGGCCCCGGCUCCUCCUCGAGACGGCGCCUUCCCUCGAGACCCUGCAUGUCCACGUCGCCGCCUGCGUGCAGGAGCCCGGCGAGGAGAUAAGCUGGGGGGCUGCCGUGCCCCGGCACCAUGGCCUCAAGGAGUUCGUGAUGGCCGGUUUCGGGGGCACGGCGAGGCAGGUUUACCUUGUCAGGUUCGUCAUGGGAGCGUGCACGGCGCUGCGGUGUGUCGCCGUGUUCAAGGAAGGGCAUGCUCGUGACAAGGGGCACUGGGACUGGGAGAUAGUGGUGCAGCCACACUCGUGGACCGACGAGGAGAGGAACAACUUGCUGGGCCAGAUCAUGGAUGGCGCUUCUUCCUCGGCUGCCUCGGUUCAAAUGGUUUUUGGCUGAGUUAGUUUUUCACGUGUGUUGUCUAUGGCUCAAUGGCUGGAACCUUCAAUAUGCGUCGGGUAGUUUAAUGGUCCCUUGGGAAAUACACUUUGAUUCCUGGUUAUAUACACCCUAUAUGAGGAUUUUUAAAUAAUUAAACAAAAAGGCAAAAUAGUUCAGAAGUUUUUUAAAAUAAAAUUGACUUACUUUUGCUCGGGUAUAUAUUUUUUACGAAAAAACAACAUUGACUAACAAAAAAAUUGUAAAUGUUUCUAACAAAAAAUUCAGUUUUUUUUAAAUUCCAUUUUUUGAUCUUACUGUUCACCCGAGCUCACAUGAGCUCGGGAUUAGAACAGCCACAUCCCCAUUAUGGUCAUGUACUCUCAUUCACUCCAAAAAAACCUAGUGCUCCCUAGAUUAGGAGCAUCCGCAUGUAUCUCGGGCUGUGGGGGUCACUAUGGACCCUGUCUGUAAGGCUGUGUGUCAUUGAUUGAGAGUAACACACACCUAGUUGUAUUGGGCCGACGGGUGUUUUUUGGUUUUUUGCAAUGUAUUACUUGUAUUUUUCUUUCUUUUCUAUUUAUCCUUUUCUAUUUUUUAUUAAUUCUUUUUAUUUUUCAUAUUAUAAUUCAUGAAUAUUAUUUUCAAACAUGAAUAUUUUUUAAAUAGACAAAUAUUUUUUCAAGUUCUUGAAUAUUUAUAAAGUUUGAGACAAGUUUUCAGUCUAUGAAUUCUUUUACAUUAGUUCAUCCUUUUCCAAAUUCCUGAACAUUAUUUGAAAUUAAUGAUUUUUUUAAAUUUCAUGGUUUUUUAAUUCAUGACAUUUUCUAAAAUCUGUGAACACACUUUUAUUUAACAACUCAUUCAAAUUAAAAAAUUGAUAGCCAUUUUGUUUUCUAAACUAGCAGUGAAGCAAGCGAGUGGAGCCGGGAGCCGAGCUGAGCAAAUGAGAUCUUCAUUGCUCGGCCCAUGUGAGCAUUAUGGCAGUAGUUUUACAAUUUCAACGUAGAACAAGAGUUUUUAAGGAGGAAAUACACAGGAGCACCUGGGUGCUCCACCGCCCAAAAAUAGGAGAAAAAACAUUUUUGAAAUCUUGGGAUAUGAAACUUGCGUGCCCAAUCUACUCCCCUGUGAAGUUUUAUAUGAAAAUACCAGGAAAUGUAUCUGUGGCGAAGAAAAUAAAGUCUGAACUAAAAUCCAUCUAAAUAGUUUUUUUUCUAUACAUAGGACUUUUUUGGUCUUUUUGCCACAGAUAUGUUUCCUGGUAUUUUUUCCUGAAAUUUCACACAAAUAUAGACUGGGCACCCAGGUUCCAUAUCCCAAAAUUUCAGUUUUUUUUUUGAAAUUUCUCAGUAUUUUUUAAACUUAAUGUUCAUAUAGGGGUGUGUAGUGCCCAAGCGCUACAAAUACUCUUCCCUUUCAAGGGCUAGUUAUUUUGCUGGGCUUCCAGAAUAAGCUGCUCCUACCCAAUUUAUUCUAGAAGCCCAACCAAUUUUUUUUUAGUAAAAGCUUAUUCUAGAAGUCAGCAAAAGAACUGGCCCCAAAUAUAGAAGGGGCUCACACAACCAACGCAGGCUACACCAAGGCCCAAAUAUGUAUCUUCUUAGAACAAAUACUGCCUCAACUGCAGCCCAUCACGAUAUGCAAAUGAAAGGAACACCAGUGGCGGCGCCAGCCUCAAGAAUCUGUGGGGUCAAUGGAUUUUUUUCUUCACGGUGAACAGGAAGUGAACAGUGAUUCUAGGCUGUUUUUCAAAAAAGCCCGACCCCACAGCUUACACAUAGAUUCGCCUCUGACCACCGUAACAUAAUUAAAAUCCAAGCCAACGUAAAUAAAACCAAAACCAAACAACUGACUGCAAUAACCUGAAAGAGCUGAUCCCACGAGUGAAUCAUCUGAUGUAUAGUUUCAGGUGGGUGACGGAUGGGUGAUUGGUUGCAAGUACCAAUCAUUCCAUUCAGUAAACAGUCGCUUACUACUGUAGUAUUGUCCUACUCUAGUACUCCCACUUGGCCACUUGUAUUUCUGCUUUGCUUUGUUUGAUUCAAGCUUUAAUUAAGCCGCAUUUCAUACUCAAACAUGAAAUUACUUGUCGAUCGUUCCCUCAUUUGCGAAUCCGCACGUCCGUUAAUGCUGCGGCGUAAGUGCCAUUAAUUCAGACGUGCACGGUCCGACUUUGGAGAUGGGAUUGUACGGCAUGAAGAUAGGACCAAAUAAUUGAUGAGAAGUUGAGAGCACACGGUGACCGAGUGGCUUCGGUUUGGCAUCUUGAAACCUAAAAAACCUACUGAGUGCAACGUAUAUUUCUUGAUCGAGAUGCGUGGGCAUGCAUUCGUCACUCGCUAGCAGAGUACGGUAACAAAAAAAAAA